rnacentral:rRNA from 1 species
GAUGAACGCUGGCGGCGUGCCUAACACAUGCAAGUCGAACGGGAAUCUUCGGAUUCUAGUGGCGGACGGGUGAGUAACGCGUAAGAAUCUAACUUCAGGACGGGGACAACAGUUGGAAACGACUGCUAAUACCCGAUGUGCCGCAAGGUGAAACCUAAUUGGCCUGAAGAAGAGCUUGCGUCUGAUUAGCUAGUCGGUGGGGUAAAGGCCUACCAAGGCAACGAUCAGUAGCUGGUCUGAGAGGAUGAGCAGCCACACUGGGACUGAGACACGGCCCAGACUCCUACGGGAGGCAGCAGUGGGGAAUUUUCCGCAAUGGGCGAAAGCCUGACGGAGCAACGCCGCGUGAGGGAGGAAGGUCUUUGGMUUGUAAACCUCUUUUCUCAAGGAAGAAGUUCUGACGGUACUUGAGGAU